GACACGGCCCCGCGUUAAAAGCAAAUCCAAUUCCCUCGCCGAUGACGCCUCUUCUUCUCUUUUUCAGGCCACAAUAAAUACCGCCACCCCUUUUCCUUCUCUCCCCAAAAACACCAGACUCUCCUCUACUCUAGGGUUUUCGAUUUUCCGAUGGGAGGCGGCGUGAUGAGAACGGCGGCGAAGGUGGCCGGCAUCGGCAGCGUCAUGCACGGCGGGCUGCGCGGCUCGCCGGCGGUUCCGUCGCCCGGGAAGUCGGUGCGGACGGCCUCGAUCCCCGUCGCGGCGGGGAUAUCGGCGCAGAGCGGCAAGGGGGGUGAUAGGUCGGCGAUCGAGAAGCCGUUGCUGGAGGCGACGACGGCGGAGGACUGGCAAGUGGUCGGCGAGGGGGAGUUGGUGAUGUCGGCCGGCGAGC
rnacentral:lncRNA from 1 species